UGGCUUCCCACUGACACAGGGCAGGCUUAGAUGGGAUACUUGGGAGAAAUCCUUCCCUGUGAGGGUGGGGAGGCCCUGGCACAGGUUGCCCAGAGAAGCUGUGGCUGCCCCUGGAUCCCUGCAAGUGUCCAAGGCCAGGUUG